rnacentral:rRNA from 1 species
AUUGAACGCUGGCGGCAGGCUUAACACAUGCAAGUCGAGCGAGCGGCGGACGGGUGAGUAAUGUCUGGGAAACUGCCUGAUGGAGGGGGAUAACUACUGGAAACGGUAGCUAAUACCGCAUACCAUCAGAUGAACCCAUAUGGGAUUAGCUAGUAGGUAAGGUAACGGCUUACCUAGGCGACGAUCCGUAACUGGUCUGAGAGGAUGAUCAGUCACACUGGAACUGAGACACGGUCCAGACUCCUACGGGAGGCAGCAGUGGGGAAUAUUGGACAAUGGGCGAAAGCCUGAUCCAGCCAUGCCGCGUGUGUGAAGAAGGUCUUCGGAUUGUAAAGCACUUUAAGUUGGGAGGCGUUACCAACAGAAUAAGCACCGGCUAACUUCGUGCCAGCAGCCGCGGUAAUUC